ensembl:misc_RNA 7SK 7SK RNA
GGAUGUGAGGGCGAUCUGGCUGAGACAUCUGUCACCCCAUUGAUCGCCAGGGUUGAUUCGGCUGAUCUGGCUUUCUAGGCGGGUGUCCCCUUCCUCCCACUGCUCCAUGUAUGUCCCUCCCGAAGCUGUGCGCUCGGUCGAAGAGGACGGCCUUCCCUGAAUAGAGACGGACCAGUCUUCCGUUGAGGGUAUACGAGUAGAGUAGCUGCGCUCCCCUGCUAGAACCUCCAAAUAAGCUCUCAAGAAACAAAGUUUUUUGGCUAUUUAUUAAAUGAACAUUUGUUCAGUCUCUACUUGAAAGGCCCUAUGAUAAGAUCUAAAAUGUUUCAAAAUGAGGUUAUAGCUUAAAAUAACUCAUUGCUG